CCAGGCCUCGUCUGCACUGCAGAGUUCCCCUCGGAGGAGCGGAGGUGAUCAGCGCCACUGACUCCACAGGAACAUCUUCAGGCCGCUGAAUUUUGACUCGGGUUCUGCUUUCUGACCUGGACCGACGUGAGCGGCAUUCACAGCAGCUCUGCAAUCUCAGAGGAGCAUUUGAGCGGCUGGCCUCGGCUCUACAAGUGUGCAGGAUUACCUGAAUCCAUGGGUAUCGAUCACCCUCGGCUGCGCUCCAGGCAUUGACGAGGCCCUUCUUGUUGAGUCGGGCGAA